rnacentral:rRNA from 1 species
UGGCGGACGGGUGAGUAACACGUGAGCAACCUGCCUAUCAGAGGGGGAUAACGAUUGGAAACGAUCGCUAAUACCGCAUGACAUAGCGGAAUCGCAUGGUUCUGUUAUCAAAGAUUUUAUCGCUGAUAGAUGGGCUCGCGUCCGAUUAGAUAGUUGGUGGGGUAACGGCCUACCAAGUCGACGAUCGGUAGCCGGACUGAGAGGUCGAACGGCCACAUUGGGACUGAGACACGGCCCAGACUCCUACGGGAGGCAGCAGUGGGGGAUAUUGCACAAUGGGGGAAACCCUGAUGCAGCGACGCCGCGUGAGGGAAGACGGUCCUCUGGAUUGUAAA